AAAAUAGUCCCUCUAAUUUCUUACAGAAAUCAGCAGUCAUAAGCAGUCCUUUCUUAGUCCAUAAAUUUGCUUCAGUGAAGAUCAACAGCAAACAAGGCCUCAGAAAUAGUCAGGCCUUUCUGAAUAUAGAACCAUCUUCUUUUCAGCCAGUACUCAAUAGACUCACAGAGAGAGAGAGAGAAACCUGUUCAAACCGGUUCUCCAGCAGCAGGACAGCAACAGUUGCAAAACCAAUUCCCCAGGUCCUUGCAAAUUCAGCCAAUCGGCUUCAUGCAUUUGAUUUUCCAGUUAACACACAUAUAGUAUCUUUGCAAACCAUGACAGGCUUGAACCUGCAACUCUCUCCAUGCAAAGUUAAGGCUUUUAAACUGAAACUCAGCCCAGUUUCCUCCUCCAGUGUUCAAGAUUUUUUUGUGCAGCUGGCCAAUACACCUGCAUCACUGUGCCUCCAAAGCACAGAAGUAAGUUGCUGCGUUUCCAAACUCAACGCUGGUGACAUGCAAUUGGCUCGAUCUGUUCUUUUUAUCCAGCUCAGCACUGAAGUUGGGCUCCUGUCUGACUUUGUCACUCACUAUCUGGAACAGAUAGGGCUACACAGGAAUGUCGCUGAACAAAUGACUUCUCAUUCAACUGACAUUAACUCCAUAACGUAAUUAACUUCAGCUUCAAACUUGCAGUUUGUCUGUUGCUGCAGCAAAUAAUUACCAGGUUCAGUUCUGGUCCUCUGUGGAGUUCAUUAGAGUCACGGUCACACAGCCCCUGGGCUCUUAACUUCACUGAGUCUUUAAUUGUAUCCUUUGCCACUAAUUGUUUUGGGAUCAUGCAAUCAUAUUGCCCUUGAGUGUUCUCAGUUUAAAUCCCCGAGUGUCUUGUUAGGCAAGGUCUCCAAGAACACCGAUGUUUUGAUGUUUCCAGGUGUCACAGUGAGAAUUCAAUGCACCAUGCAAUUUCAAGAUUGACUGAACUGGAGCUCAGCCAAAGCCAAGUCAAAACAAUACAUCUUUGCAGUUCCUUUGGGACCAAUUACAGCACAAGAGAUAAAUCAACAGGGAUAUGUGAUGGACAGGUGUAAGGUUGCAUUGAUCAGACUCCCAUAGCAAGAACCAAUGGGUUUGAUGUUCAAUGAGAGGUCACUCUAUUUCCUCCAUUAGUACCACUCGCCACAUGGACUUCAUUCCACCGUUGAGAAUAUUGCAAGCAUUUCUGGGAUGAUGAUCAGAGACGCUAAAGGCAAUAAAGGACCUUAGCACUCACACCACGGAAAAUGCCUUUUGAGUAGGCAAUCCGUGGCCUUUGAAGACUCAGUGAAAAUUUGAUACAUAUAAGAUACCCUACCAUACCUGGAUCUCACCUUCCCGUAUCUAAUAAAAUAAUGCUCCUUUAACUUAUCACAUGACAGAGGGAUGACUCCUUCCUCUGAGUCAGAUUUUUCCCUAAAUCA
rnacentral:lncRNA from 11 species